CCUACGGGAGGCAGCAGUAGGGAAUCUUCGGCAAUGGACGAAAGUCUGACCGAGCAACGCCGCGUGAGUGAAGAAGGUUUUCGGAUCGUAAAACUCUGUUGUUAGAGAAGAACAAGUGGGAGAGUAACUGUUCCCACCUUGACGGUAUCUAACCAGAAAGCCACGGCUAACUACGUGCCAGCAGCCGCGGUAAUACGUAGGUGGCAAGCGUUGUCCGGAUUUAUUGGGCGUAAAGCGAGCGCAGGCGGUUUCUUAAGUCUGAUGUGAAAGCCCUCGGCUCAACCGAGGAAGGUCAUUGGAAACUGGGGAACUUGAAUGCAGAAGAGGAGAGUGGAAUUCCAUGUGUAGCGGUGAAAUGCGUAGAUAUAUGGAGGAACACCAGUGGCGAAGGCGACUCUCUGGUCUGUAAUUGACGCUGAGGCUCGAAAGCGUGGGGAGCAAACAGGAUUAGAUACCCUGGUAGUCCACGCCGUAAACGAUGAGUGCUAAGUGUUGGAGGGUUUCCGCCUUCAGUGCUGCAGUUAACGCAUUAAGCACUCCGCCUGGGGAGUCGGCCGCAAGGCUGAAACUUCAAAGGAAUUGACGGCNGAGAGNGCGAGGCGACGACGAGGGAGAGG
rnacentral:rRNA from 1 species